ensembl:lncRNA
GCCACUGCUGCGGGGCCUGCCCAGAAUGUUCUGGAGCAAGCUGGGUGUCCGACCCCUGGGCUGCUGUCCCUGGCGUCUGCAGCCCUGCGGGCAAGCAGGCAGUGUUGUCUCCGUCCCCAGGCUGCUGAGGCUGCUGCCAGGGCCGCGGAGGAGGAGGCGGGGCGCAGGGGGCGCCUAGCAGGCCCUUACGCAGCAAGCCUUAGUCACCAGCUGAGGCUCCUCCGCCAAGACCUCCGUGCCAGGCAGGAGCAGUGGGCCUCCUUCUGCUCGGCGCUGAUGGCAGCUCGGCGGCUGCUGAAGGCACAGGCGGGCUCCAGGCCCGCCAAGUCCUCCCAGGCUGGGCCCAACCCCGAAGGGUGUGUAUCCACUGAGGCUGAGGCAGGCGUGAUGAGAUCUGGCUUAGGGGAGGAGCGAGAAUGGCUUCGCAGGGUCCUGAGCUGGCCACGCCGCCGACGUGUCCUUUCUCCAUCCCAAACUGCGCUUCCCCUUAUAGGCCUACCCCUGUGGCCCUGCAGGGAAACCCCCCAGCUGGAUGCCGUGCUGAGCCGCCUGUCCCAGGCUGUGCUGCAGGAGGGCCACCGCCUGAAGGCCUGGGGCGUCCUGGGCACCGGCACUGGGGCAGAGCUGCUGCGGCCAGCCUCAGCAGGCCCUCAAGGGGGCGCCGAUGACAUCCGUGUGAAUCCGGUCACCAAGCUGAUGGUCCCCAGCCCCAACUGUGCAAUGCUUCCGGCCAGUGGCCAUGCAGGGUCCAUACCUCCUGGCUACUUCGUCCACCCUGACACCGGGAGGGUGCUGCCUGAAGCUGGAAACCUGGGGUACGAUCUGCAGGGAGCUGCCCUGGUGCCCACCACUGACUUCGGUUCCGGUGGCGUCCGAACAUCAGAAGCUGCCAUCCUCCCCUAUGUGCCCUACCCGACCUGCCCCGCCACAGGCUCCCCUCCAACCUCCUGCCUGCCCGUCCUGCAGCCACGAAGGACGUCACAGAUGGGGGCUGUCAUGACAGACCCUGCAACUGGCAUCGAGGUGCCCGUGCUGGCUGUGACCCUGCACCCUCAGACGAGGCAGUGGCUCGCUCUUGGGGGCACAUACUGCAACCCUCUCACCAAGACCUUGGCCCCUCUAGAGCUGGGGGGCCCCAUGGAGGAUCCAGUCACUGGAGGCAUCUCGCCAAUCCUGGGAGUCGGGUUGGAUGAAGACACAGGUCAGGUGCUUGCCCUGGGCGGGCUGCGAGACGCCUCGGGGAACCUUAUGCUGCCUGGCGACAGCUUCGAGGAGCCACUGAGCAGGAAGACAGUCCGGCUCCAGGGAGCUGCGCGACAGGAGGGCCGGACAGUGCCCCACACAGGAGGAUCACAGGCCUUGCUGGAUGCCAACGUGCUGGUGGCCCAGAGGCGAGUGCUUGCUGUGCUGUGCAGCUACCAGGAGAGGCCUGGGUCAAGGAUGCAGGGGCUUCUAGAGGCUGCCAUCAAGGACAUGAGACAGGCACUGGCCUUGAGUCUGCACCAUGUCCUGCAGCAGGCUCGGAGACUGGAGCGGCAGCUGGAGACAGCAGGUGGCAUCGCGGCCAGCGGAGGAAGGCUAGGAAUGAUGUGCUAUCCAGGGACAGAGCUGUGGGUCCCAGCCCUCUAUGGGAUGGAGAUCCCAGACCCUGAGGGCUCGGGGCUCAUGGUGCCCAUCCUGGGCAUGGAGACUGAUAGGAAUUCUGGUGACCCCACACCCCUGGCGGGUUCAAUGGAAGAUGCGGAUGGCAAAGGUAGGAGGGAACUGGGGGCCUGCGAAAGCCCCAGGGGGAUCUGGAAUGUGACUUAGCCCCGGGAAAG